CACAUAGGUGUGCUGAGCCAGUAAGGACCUAGGCCAUCAGGUCCUAGGACCUCUGACCCUCUGGGUCAAGUCCAUUACCGGACCCCCACCAUUGGAGCUCACUUGCAGGAGGAGACUUCCACAAGUCUCUGAAGCUAUCCCCCCUAUUUCUUGAGGACACUCACCAGUGUGCCUGGACAGUAGGGACCUACGACAACAGGUCCCAGGACCACUGACCCUCUGGGUCAAGUCCACUUCUGGCCCUGCCCCACACCCAUUGGAGCUCCCCUGCUGGAGAAUUCUCCAAAGCCUCCCAAGUUACUCCCCCUGUUACUUGAGGAGGCAAAUAGGUGUGCUGAGCCAGUAAGGACCUAGGCCAUCAGGUCCUAGGACCUCUGACCCUCUGGGUCAAGUCCAUUACCGGACCCCCAUCAUUGGAGCUCACUUGCAGGAGGAGACUUC